rnacentral:rRNA from 1 species
UUAGUGAAUAUAGGACGUCCAACUUAACUUGGAGUCCGAACUCUCACUUUCUAACCCUGUGCACUUGUUUGGGAUAGUAACUCUCGCAAGAGAGCGAACUCCUAUUCACUUAUAAACACAAAGUCUAUGAAUGUAUUAAAUUUUAUAACAAAAUAAAACUUUCAACAACGGAUCUCUUGGCUCUCGCAUCGAUGAAGAACGCAGCGAAAUGCGAUAAGUAAUGUGAAUUGCAGAAUUCAGUGAAUCAUCGAAUCUUUGAACGCACCUUGCGCUCCAUGGUAUUCCGUGGAGCAUGCCUGUUUGAGUGUCAUGAAUACUUCAACCCUCCUCUUUCUUAAUGAUUGAAGAGGUGUUUGGUUUCUGAGCGCUGCUGGCCUUUACGGUCUAGCUCGUUCGUAAUGCAUUAGCAUCCGCAAUCGAACUUCGGAUUGACUUGGCGUAAUAGACUAUUCGCUGAGGAAUUCUAGUCUUCGGAUUAGAGCCGGGUUGGGUUAAAGGAAGCUUCUAAUCAGAAUGUCUACAUUUUAAGAUUAGAUCUCAAAUCAGGUAGGACUACCCGCUGAACUUAAGCAUAUCAAUAAGCGGAGGAAAAGAAACUAACAAGGAUUCCCCUAGUAGCGGCGAGCGAAGCGGGAAGAGCUCAAAUUUAUAAUCUGGCACCUUCGGUGUCCGAGUUGUAAUCUCUAGAAAUGUUUUCCGCGUUGGACCGCACACAAGUCUGUUGGAAUACAGCGGCAUAGUGGUGAGACCCCCGUAUAUGGUGCGGACGCCCAGCGCUUUGUGAUACAUUUUCGAAGAGUCGAGUUGUUUGGGAAUGCAGCUCAAAUUGGGUGGUAAAUUCCAUCUAAAGCUAAAUAUUGGCGAGAGACCGAUAGCGAACAAGUACCGUGAGGGAAAGAUGAAAAGCACUUUGGAAAGAGAGUUAACAGUACGUGAAAUUGUUGGAAGGGAAACGCUUGAAGUCAGACUUGCUUGCCGAGCAAUCGGUUUGCAGGCCAGCAUCAGUUUUCCGGGAUGGAUAAUGGUAGAGAGAAGGUAGCAGUUUCGGCUGUGUUAUAGCUCUCUGCUGGAUACAUCUUGGGGGACUGAGGAACGCAGUGUGCCUUUGGCGGGGGUUUCGACCUCUUCACACU